rnacentral:rRNA from 1 species
UACGGAGGGGGCAAGCGUUAAUCGGAAUUACUGGGCGUAAAGCGCACGCAGGCGGUUUGUUAAGUCAGAUGUGAAAGCCCCGGGCUCAACCUGGGAACUGCAUCUGAUACUGGUAAGCUUGAGUGUCGUAGAGGGGGGUAGAAUUCCAGGUGUAGCGGUGAAAUGCGUAGAGAUCUGGAGGAAUACCGGUGGCGAAGGCGGCCCCCUGGACGAAGACUGACGCUCAGGUGCGAAAGCGUGGGGAGCAAACAGG